GGCGACGUGGCCGAGUGGUUAGGCAGCGGCCUGCAAAGCCGUGUACACCGGUUCGAUUCCGGUCGUCGCCU
rnacentral:tRNA from 1 species